CAGACAGGCCAGAUUUCCAGCAUUACCAGCGGACAGUGGGACAAAGGGCCUGCCCCCAGGAUGGGCCAUGGACCUAGGCCCCACCUCCCUGUGGGCUGAAAGGACGGAGGCGGAGACGCCAAAUAGGCAUGAGGGACACCGGGCAGUGUGUAGCAAACCUGGGCAAAGGCCUUGAACCAGCCACUUCUCCGCCUUUGAUUCCUGAACCGAGCUAAUUCCUCCGGCUUCGGAAAGGACGGGGCGUGGACGCACGACGUCCAGUGCUGAGCCGGAGCUGGGAAACGUUAUAAAAACACACCCACGGAGCUCCGGAAGGUGCCGGGCCCCAAGGUCAGGCGGAAAGAGAAGCAGCCUCCAGUCACCAACUUCCUGCCUGCCCCGGCCAGGCCCCCAGCCUCGCAGGUCCUGGGGUUCCCAAGGGCUCCAAGGACAGUGUCAGCCCCCAAAGCCAAGCCCCGGGUCCUUUGGGGCUCGAGAGACCCGGAGACCGUCCCCCACCCCAGCCCCCACCGUUCAGCCCGCCCUGGCCCCGCGCCCACGCUGCUGCCCCUUCCCCGCCUCCGCUCGACCCCGGGCGUCUGCCCCACGCCCCGCC